CCUUCAUCCUCACUAAGGGAUUUGAAACUGCUGAGUAUGGUUUAAUCCUUAGCCCUUAUCUUAAUGAGUAAGGUGUCGCACAUCCAACUUGGCAUUCACUGCUUUUGAAUUUUGUGGUAUGUGCCUGUAAAUGUGAGGGACUCAAAAGUAGGAUUGAAGCUUUCACUUUUGUAAAAGACUUUCAUUUUCUUUUUCUUGUUUCAUUUUAAAGAACUAAUCUUCAAGAGAGAAGCUGCCAUUUGUGGUAGUAAUACACUGCUAAAUGGCUGAGACUGACAGUGCAGAGGAAAGUCAAGACCUGGAGGCUCCAGAAGAAAACUUAGACAGCGAACAUCAAGCUUUGCUGCACUUGAGUAAAUAUGGUGAAGCCCGGCGCUUGCUGCCUUGGGAGCAGUGGAGUUUCAGAGAAAAGGCGAACUAUUGCAUGGAUCGAAUCUUUUUUGGGUUUUUGGUCCUUUUUUUAGUAGUGUUACUGGGUGAAUGUCUCUAUAAAAUGUGGUAUGUGUCAAAUGUGAAUAAGGUGCCAGAAUUUGCAUUUGACUCUUUGGUAUCUCUGUUUAACUGGCUUUUUACUCAGGAAAGACAGGAAGAACUGGCUGAAUUGUAACAUGAUUGGAAGAAGAUCCUUUUUUGAUGAAAAUGUUUUGAGAUUUUGUACAAAUGACAAUGGAAUGCUUUUCCUAUACAGUGGUCUUCUCUAAACUUUGACUUUCAUUCAUUUUGAAGUGUCUCAGAAAGGCUUUUUUGCAGCUAGUUUUUGAAAGCAGUGCUGGACCAAAUGUAGAACAAGAACAGUAAAAACACAAGCAUGGAAAAUCAAUUGUGUAUGUUUGAAACCAUGUCUAUGUAAACUACUGAGAUAAUUACUGCUAUGUGAAAGACCAUAUGGAUACAUUAACAUUGUGCACAAAUAAAUCAAACUUUGAAUCCUUAACAAAUGAAUGACAUAUGUAAAUGCAUAAGUAAAUAAAAACCAAACAGUUUGUUUCUUUGUGUCUGUGAAAAUUGACUAAAGAAAGGAAUUUGGAACUGUGAAUAAUUCUGAUAAAUGAAAGUUUACUGGUCUAUUUGGUUUGGCAAAGAUGCCCUUCCUGACACAAGCCUGUGUAUUUAUCUGGGCUUGGGACAAGCAGAAUGAGACCCUGGCUUGGGCCCCCUCGUGGCUACAACUGAAAGAUUUUGAAUAACUUUGUCAAAAUCGUUUUUUUUUUUAUGUCAAUCACCAAGAACUAAUCCAAUAAUAAUAAUUGGAUAAGUUGGAAAAAUGCUGUUAUUGAAAACAAAGUAUGAACUGGUUGAUAAAUAAACAAUCCUGUUUGACAAAAA